rnacentral:tRNA from 1 species
GCUUCCAUAGUUUAACGGAUAAAAUUCAUCCUUGCGGAGGAUGUGCUCCAGGUUCGAUUCCUGGUGGAAGCA